CCUCAGGAACUACUCCAGAAUCUAGAGUUUUGAAAAAUUAUCACUAAUGCAUCCGCUAUUUCUGGGGCUAUUUCCUUAAGUACUCUGGGAUGCAGCCUAUCUGGCCCUGGGGAUUUAUCGGCCUUUAAUCCAUUCAAUUUACCUAACACCACUUCCCGGCUAACCUGGAUUUCACUCAGUUCCUCCAUCUCAAUUGACCCGCGGUCCCCUGCUAGGAACCCGAGGGCUUUGGGACCAUCCUGGCAGGGGAUGGAGGUGUAGAGUGACUGAACAUCCAUGGUGAGGAUGAGGGGAUGGGGGCCUAGAGAAUGGAAUGUCCGGAGACGACGGAGAGUGUCUGAGUUGUCUUGAACAUAGGUCAGGAGGGAUUUAACCAGGGGGGGAUAGGAUGGAGUCGAGGUAUGUGGAAAUAGGUUCAGUAGGACACGAACAGGCAGAGUCAAUGGGUCUACCAGGACAGUCAGGGUUGUGGAUUUUGGGGAGAAGGUAAAAUUGGUCCUUGCGGGGCUAUUAAUGGUAUGGUAGUGGAAUAUAGGCAUAGACUAUUUUCUGAAUGGGGUGAGAAUCCAGAAAUCAGAGAUGAAAAGGGACUUAGUACAUGAUUCCCAAAAAGUUAAUCUGCAAGUCGAAUUGGUUGUAAAGAAUGCAAACUCGAUUUAUUUCAAGAGGGCUUUUAUACAAAAACAGGGAUGCAAUGCUGAGGCUCUAUGAGGUGCUGGUCAGGCCGCAUUUUGAAUAUUGUGAGCAAUUUUUGGGCACCAUAUUUAAGGAUGUGCUGGCUCUGGAGAAGGCCCAGAGGAGGUUUACAAGAAUUGUCCCAGGAAUGAGUAGGUUUACAAAUGAUGAGCGUUUGUCGGCACUGGGCCUGUACUCGCUGGAGUUUAGAAGAAUAAGAGGGGACCUCAUUGAAACAUACAGAAUAGUGAAAGGCUUGGAUAGAGUGGAGAGGAUGUUUAACUAGUGGGAGAGUCUACGACUGGAGGUCAUAGCCUCAGAAUUAAAGGACGUUCUUUUAGGAAGGAGAUGUGGAGUCAUUUCUUUGGUCGGUGGUGAAUCUGUGGAAUUCUUUGCCGUGGAAGCCAAGUCAGUGGAUAUUUUCAAGGCAGAAUUAGAUAGAUUCUUGAUUAGUACAGGCAUCAGCGGUUGUGUGGAGAAGUUAGGAAAAUGGGGAGAGAUAGAACAGCCAUGAUUGAAUGGCAGUGUAGACUUGAUGGGCCGAAUAGUCAUUGUUAGGCUGAAGCCAAUUAACCUACCAACCCGCACGCCUUUGGAAUGUGGGAGGAAGCCGAAGCACCCGCAGAAAACCCACACGGGUCACAGGGAGAAGUUACAAACUUCCCCCAGACAGCACCUGCAGUCAGCAUCAAACGUGGGUCUCGGGCGCUGUUAGGCAGCAACUCUACCGCUGCACCACCGUGUUGCCCCACGUGUAAAAUAGUCUAGCGUAUUGGGUGUACAAUGUUUACAGGAAGUGGAGAGAAUCACAAUAAAAGGAGAUGAUCCUCAUUUCAUAUCGUUCCAUUCACCUCUCAUACCUAUAUGAGUCAACCACCAUUGACUCAUUUCUGCCAAUGCCAGGAUUUGAAGAUGUUCUUCCAUUUAUUCAUAUUGCUCCUGAUUUGCAUCGUCCCUCAAAGUAUUUAUUUGUUACCACUGCCCCUCCUCCUUGAAAUAUGUUUCACUUCUAGGACAAAGGAUAUUUAUUGUCAAAUACACCAAUUGGUGCAGUGAAAUUUGUGUUGCCAUUGCAGCACACAAAUAGGAUAAACAUAACACUAUGGAAUUUAACAUUAAACAUAAAUAACAUCCCCACAGCGGGAUCUACGUUUCCCACUGUGAGGGAAGGCAGGAAAGUUCAGUCCACUUCCUCUAUUUUCACCCGUGGUCAGGACCUAUUUGUGACCUCCGGAGUCGCCGCUACGGCGGCACGAUGUUUCAGGCCCUCUCGCCGGGAUGAUGGAACUCCAGCGUCGGAAGAACACUCUCAGCGGCUUGGAGUUCCGAAACGGCUGCUUCUAGAUAACUGGUCAGAUAACAUUUCUAGACAUUUUUUCCUUCAUAUUUCUUGUAUUUCCGGUUGUACUAGAAAGCAGCUGCAAUCAUUGAGGAACAAUUGGUUUUAUUGGUUACAAAUUACGCAAGUGAAUUGGUUUUAUAUGUUACAAAUUACGCAAGUGAAGCCAACACCCAUAUCAUGCACUGUAAGCAACAGGUAUGUACGCUACUAAAACAAAUUGAGAUGCAGAAUAAAAAAUCAAUUUUAUGGAAUUUAUGUAAAAAAUCCACAAAAUGUACACUUGAAAUUUCCCAGCAGUAAUCAAACAAACUUCAUUGUACAUAUCAUAACUGCCGUGAACAUGAUGGGCGUCACAAGUGAUUUGCUUGGGAAACUGAUAAGACAAUGACUUCUAUUGGUACAAGAACCCUUUCUGUCUGCUUCCAUUUAAUUUGGCUUUGUACAAACCCAAUUAGUACAGGUGUCAGAGGCUAUGGGGAGAAGGCAGGAGAAUGGGGUAAGGAGAGAGAUAGAUCAGCCAUAAUUGAAUGGCGGAGUAGACUUGAUGGGCCGAAUGGCCUAAUUCUACUUCUUAUGACCUUGUGACCUGUUAUUAAUAUACUUCACCCCACAUGUUCAUUAACAAAACCCAGCUAUAAUCAACUGAGCUGUUUCUCCAUGAUCACACAUUGACAUGACCCACAAUAGUUAACACCCUAUCCCACCAUCACUCCAGUCUCUGUCCUGAUUUAGACCUUCGACUUUAGAGAUACAAUGUGGAAACAGGCCCUUUGACCCACCGAGUCUGCACAGAUCAGUGAUCACCCCGUACACAAGCACUAUCCUACACACACAAGAGACAAUUUACAAUUUACUGAAGCCAAUUAACCUACAAACCAUUGGAGUGUGGGAGGAAACCAAAGCACCCGGAGAUAACCUACAUGGUCACAUGGAGAAGGUACACACUCCGUACAGAUAGCACCCAUAGUCAGGAUUGAACCCAGGUCUGUGGUGCUAUAAUGCAGCAACUGUGCCACUGUGCUGCCCAUCUGGAUCUUUCUGCAACUCCAUGCAAUGUAAUCUCAUCCGACCAAGCGAUAUCACACGCACCCCACCACCACCAAAUGUGCGGACUGGGAUGAGACUCGUAGCUACCCUGGUCCAAUAUGAUAUUGAACCGGAAAUUUAAUUCAAACAAAGACACAAGAUGCUGGAGUAACUCAGCGGAUCAGGCAGCAUCGCUGGAGAACAUGCAUGGGUGACGUUGCGGGUCGUCAAACUUCUUCAUAUCUGACUGGUUGAGUUACAUAGAAACAUGGGAAAUAGGUGCAGGAGGAGGCCCUUCGAGCCUGCACGGCCAUUCAUUGUGAUCAUGGCUGAUCAUCCACAAUUGAUAAUAUCAGACAGUUUGGGGUACUUGACAAAAUGGAGUAUUUCUUCUUCUGUAAAACCAGCUCGGCAUCUUUUGCAAAAAGCUGCAAGCCAUGAGGACCAUGGCUACUGAAAGUCUGUGGCCAGGGAAGGGGUUGAAUGAAGGUUGAUGUCCAGGUGGCCUUUAAUUGGUAAUAUGUAUGAGAUUUUGCAGAAGGAGCUAGGUCUUGGUGUAAAUGCAUGCUUGGGAUUGGUUGAGGAAAUGAUGGGUUACAAUAAUGUAGCAGUCAGAGUCUUUCCGCUGCUAAUUCUGAUUGGUCCAGGAGAGGGGCCAAACCAAAGUUGUUUACUUUACCUGGGAUAAUGUUUCUUUACUGAACACAAGUGCUUUGUGUUGAAACUAUAUUAUGUGAUAUUAUAUGAUUGGGUUAGGGAACUGUCAUUCAAUAUCUUCUGCAGUCCUUAAUUGGCUUGUCGGGGGUUUCCCACCCCAUGUAUUUUCGCUCCAAGGGUCUGUAAGGGUAUAAAAGAGUGGGGAGCACAUUGGGGUGUGCCGAUCUUCUGCGGUAUGUGUUCUAUUUGCGUGAGGCUGUUGGGCUCGAGUCAGUAGAGACAAGGAUCAGUCCCGCGGUAUUGGGCUGUAUUGUAUUGGUAUUGUGUAAUAAAAGAGAGUUAGAUUUCUAGUGCUCGCAUUCGGUGUUUGACUGAAGCAGACUAAGCGGGGUAAGUUUAGGACCAGAAUUACAUUGGGGGCUCAUCCAGGAUCUCAAUGGAUUGCCAAACAUAAAUUUGUGGUCAGGGAAUCGAGUCAUGUCGGAUUGCGGGAGGAGAAAUUGGCGCCAUGAUGUGACUUUCUAUCGGUUUUCCCCGCUCCGCUAGUCUGACGAUGAAUCGGUUAUUCGCGUGCUUGUGUUUGGAUUCCCGACGAGAUCGAUAGAAGAUCAGUACUGAGCACUGAGGGCGAGAUUUGAGUCCCCGCCUAGGGGGUUGAGGCCCGGAGGGUGGGGGUUGGACUCAAAAGGCUCCUCCCCAGUGGGUUAAAGGCACCACACCAUCGGUAAGGCGACAGCUGUUGCAAUCGGGAAUGUACUGAAACUGGCCUGAGGGUUGGUAGGCCCUGGGGUUUGAGGGUUGGUAGGCCCUCGGGUUUGAGGCCCCACUCAGACUGGGAUAUAAAUUGCGAGAUAUCCUCAAACACAGGACUGAGAAUGUCAGUACUUAGAGGGGAAGUACUGAAUCGGUGCUGAUAGUGCGAUUGGAAAGACGACACUUUAAAAAUCGGCAUCGAGAACCAGCAAGAAGCGGGUACGUGCUGAAGACCAGUAUUAAGCGGGUAGAAGGGUUUGAGGCCCAGGCGAUUUGAGGCCGCGCCUGUGUGUGGUUUAAGGCCCAAAUAAUAUUGGGAUUUCAGUGUUGGAGUAAAAUUGGCUGAAAUACUUUAAAAUCAACACUGAUCUAAAUUCUUCGAUUUAAAUUCAGGACGUCAUGUUGAAGGCUGCUGGUUAUUGUAUAGAGAUCCGUUUUUAAUCUUGUAAAAUUGUAAAAUAACUCUGUAAUUAUAUAUAACUCCUUAAUUGUAAUAUAGCGAUUGUGUGAUUAAUGCUGCUGUUGUAAUCAUAGUUUGAUCCGUGACUGUGUGUCAAUAUAGCGUCAUCUAAUGUAGUUUAAAAUAGUGUGAUUUUAUCAAAUGCUUAUAACCAUAUAACAAUAUAACAAUUUACAGCACGGAAACAGGCAAUCUCGACCCUUCUAGUCCGUGCCGAACACGUAUUCUCCCUGAGUCCCAUAUACCUGCGCUCAGACCAUAACCUUCCAUUCCCUUCCCGUCCAUAUAACUAUAAAAUUUAUUUUUAAAUGAUAAAAACGAACCUGCCUCCACCACCUUCACUGGAAGCUCAUUCCACACAGCCACCACUCUCUGAGUAAAGAAGUCUCCCCUCAUGUUACCCCUAAACUUCAGUCCCUUAAUUCUCAAGUCAUGUCCCCUUGUUUGAAUCUUCCCUACUCUCAGUGAGAAAAGCUUUUCCACGUCAACUCUGUCUAUCCCUCUCAUCAUUUUAAAAACCUCUAUCGAGUCCCCCCUUAACCUUCUGCGCUCCAAAGAAUAAAGCCCUAACUUGUUCAACCUUUCUCUGUAACUUAGUUGCUGAAACCCAGGCAACAUUCUAGUAAAUCGCCUCUGUACUCUCUCUAUUUUGUUGACGUCCUUCCUAUAAUUAGGCAACCAAAAUUGUACACCAUACUCCAGAAUUGGCCUCAGCAAUGCCUUGUACAAUUUUAACAUUACAUCCCAACUUCUAUACUCAAUGCUCUGAUUUAUAAAGGCCGGCACACCAAAAGCUUUCUUUACCACCCUAUCUACAUGAGAUUCCACUUUCAGGGAACUGUGCACAGUUAUUCCCAGAUCCCUCUGUUCACCUACAUUCUUCAAUUCCCUACCAUUUACCAUGUACGUCCUAUUUUGAUUUGUCCUGCCAAGAUGUAGCACCUCACACUUAUCAGCAUUUAACUCCAUAUGCCAUCUUUCAGCCCACUCUUCCAACUGGCAUAAAUCUCUGUAGACUUUGAAACUCUACUUCAUUACCCGCAACCCCACCUAUCUUAGUAUCAUCUGCAUACUUACUAAUCCAAUUUACCACACCAUCAUCCAGAUCAUUGAUGUACAUGACAAACAACAGUGGACCCAACACAGACCCUGUGGCACCCCACUUGUCACUGGCCUCCAACCUGACAAACAACCAUCCACCAUUACUCUCUGGCAUCUCCCAUUCAGCCACUGUUGAAUCCAUCUUGCUACUCCACCAUUAAUACCCAACCAUUGAACAUUCUUAACCAACCUUCCAUGAGGAACCUUGUCAAAGGCCUUACUGAAGUCCAUAUACACAACAUCCACUGCUUUACCCUCAUCAAUUUCCCGAGUAACAUCUUCAAAAAAUUCAAGAAGAUUAGUUAAACAUGACCUUCCAGGCACAAAUCCAUGUUGACUGUUCCUAAUCAGACCCUGUUUAUCCAGAUGCUUAUAUAUAUUAUCUCUAAGUAUUCUUUCCAUUAAUUUGCCCACCACUGACGUCAAACUAACAGGUCUAUAAUUGCUAGGUUUACUCUUAGACCCCUUUUUAAACAAUGGAACAACAUGCGCAGUACGCCAAUCCCUCUGCACUAUUCCCAUUUCUAAUGACUCUUGAAAUAUUUCUGCCAUAGCCCCUGCUAUUUCUACACUAACUUCCCUCAAUGUCCUAGGGAAUAUCCUGUCCGGACCUGGAGAUUUAUCCACUUUUAUAUUUCUCAAAAGUGUCAGUACUUCCUCUUCUUUGAAUCUCAUAGUUUCCAUAGCUACUCUACUUGUUUCCCUUACCUCACAUAAUUCAAUAUCCUUCUCCUUGGUGAAUACCGAAGAAAAUAAACUGUUCAAUAUCUCCCCCAUCUCUUUUGUCUCUGCAGAUAGUUGUCCACUCUGACGCUCUAAUGGACCAAUUUUUAUCCCUCGUUAUCCUUUUGCUAUUAAUAUAGCGGUAGAAACCCUUCGGAUUUACUUUGACCUUACUUGUCAAAGCAACCUCAUAUCUUCUUGUGGGCAUACGCAGCAUCUUGACCUUGUACGCAGCGUCUUGAUGGCGUACACCUAGCGCAUGGCGUUGCAUGAUAUCACUGCGCGACACCGUGUGACGCCCAAAAUCAGUCGGCCUGCCUUUAUCAGUCGGCUUGCGUUCCUGCCCCAGUUCCUGCCCCAGUUCCUGCCCCAGUUCCUGCCCCAGUUCCUGCCCCAGUUCCUGCCCCAGUUCCUGCCCCAGUUCCUGCCCCAUAUGCUGCCCCAUCUCCUGCUUCAGCUCCUGCCCCAGCUGCUGCAGCAGAAUGGGACUCAGAUUUGGCUCAGGAGACUGAUGCCUCAGCUCUGUGGGCAAAGAAGAAGAAGAAGAAGAAUAGGGUGGUCACAAGGCCUUAUAAUUUUACCAGGGAACAAGAGAGAGACCUAGUAGAAUGGUAUCAGGCCCACCGAGAACUCUAUGAUAAGGGGCAUCGUAAUUUCAGGAGCACGGAUCUCCGCAACACGAUGCUUGAAGACAAGGCGAAGGAGUUCCCUGGCUGCUCUUAUGACCAACUGUGUCAAUGGCUCAAGAGUCAGAGGACAUGGUUCGGGAGGCUGUCUCAGUCUUGGCAAGUCUUGCUCCGCCAGUAAGCCACUGACUCACAGAGAGCAAUGGAUAGUGGAGAAAUGGGGGUUUGUGCGGAACCACAUAGUUCGAGUGCAGAGGAAAGCGAGCAGCAAGAAGGUGAAUAGUUAAUAAUUAUGUAGCAAUUAUAAUUUGUUGGAAAGUGAGAUAGUCAAAUGAUAUUUGACAAUGAUAACUUGGUGGUCACCUUGCUUGCGACGUCCUGAUGGCCUUGAACAUUUCUGAUACACAUUUACUUUCUUCCAGUUUACCAUGGGGAAAUCGUCGUGCACUACCUCGAGUGAGGGCGAGACUGAUCCCCCAGAUGGACCCCCAGAGGGACCCCCUGGGUCCGGCACUGCGGACAAACAGGUGCACGCCAAACGGAAGCCGGCCUGCACAACUGUGGCAGAAUAUGGCGUGCCUGUUGAACAACUUCAGCGGGAGAUGUUCGCGGAUGCUUUCAGGUGAACCAUCAGCAAAUUUCUCAUUUACUCCACCCUACGUCCACAUUUCUCCAUCGCCUCCUAAAAAAUACUUACCAGGAUUGCACUCUCUUUGUUGCAGAUCAUGCAACAGGCUAAGACCACUCACUGCCGAGACAAUAAACGUCUUAUCACUGCCAAGGACGGUGCACAAAAUAUUCGUUUAUGCCUAAUCAACUUUACUGAGGGAGGAGAUGUUGCAGAUCCCUGAGUCGCAAUGGUCCAGCUACUCCUAGGAGGGCUUGGCCUUGGCAAGGGCGCACACAUUUCUUCAGCUAGUAAAAUCUUUUAAUCAAAGUUUAUUGAAUUUAUGAACGUUUGACUUUAAUGCUUUUAAUGAAUUACUCACUACGAAUUCCUUGGUGUUGCAGAGUCCGAUGAGGCACAUGCCAUUCAUGCCACAACAUCAAAUGGGGAUGAUGGCACCACAGCAUGCUCCCCAGGCAAUGAUGGGAUCUGGACCUAUGGCACACCCAUGGAU